rnacentral:rRNA from 1 species
UCUGUUUAAAACAACUUUCAACAACGGAUCUCUUGGUUCUCGCAUCGAUGAAGAACGCAGCGAAAUGCGAUACGUAAUGUGAAUUGCAGAAUUCAGUGAAUCAUCGAAUCUUUGAACGCCACAUUGCACUCCUUGGUAUUCCGAGGAGUAUGCCUGUUUCAGUAUCAU